CCGAGGGCGCCGCGACACGCCUGCCCCGGUGCCCCGCUGCGGGGGGGAAGCUCGGGCCAGACUCGGAGAAGCCACUGCACCCCCUCCCCCCCCCACCCCCCGGCGCGGGCGUUGUCGUCGUCCGCCGCGCGCGGGCCUGGGGCGCUCCACCCGGGGGGCCCACGCUGGACGUGCACGCGCCCGGGAGCCAGCCCCUUCCGUCCGCCCGCGCCCCGGGAAGUCCCCCACCCGGAGCCCCGCCGAGGCCCAGAAGGUGUGGGCGAGCACCGCUGGCAGGAAAACGCGGCGGCCCGGCGGCCAGGCUUUCCUAGCCCCUGGAUGUGUCCGGGGAGGAACGUGGACUUUCUCUCCUUCCACAAGUAUUUAUUUAUUCAGCAGCUACUACACCCUGGUCGGCCCUGAGGAGGGUCCGGACGUCGGGCUCCGGGCUGGACGGUGCCACGAGCCGCAGGCCUGGCAGGGCCCAGACACACAGCAUUUGUGCCCCCAGCCCCUCGGUCUGGGAGGGAGCCUCCCAGUCUCCAGACUCCUCUCCAGCCAGGUCUACACCACCGUCCCCCAUUCAUAUUCUUCUGGGUUACUAAGCAGCUGCUUUUAGAGUAAAACAAAACAAAACAAAAACAAAAAAACCGGAGGAAGACCCGGAGAUCAUUCACCUUUUGGUGUGAAUUCGCUUAAUCCUGCCGCCUAAUUUGUAAAGACUUCCCCACCUUGUGCGGGACGCAGCGCACAGCAAGGGCUUUCAGGGGGUUUGGAACAAAGUCCGCCUCCCCUCCUGGGUGCACAGACCGGUCUUCCUCGUUUACACCCAGGAAGGAAACGAGGCUUCGCCCGUAACAAAGGGAAGCCCCCGCCUCCUGGUCCUGUGUUCAGCCCCACUCCAUUGAUCAGGAAGUGAUCACACAAGGCAAGCUUCUCCUGUUCCAGGGAAACCCCAGUAAAUUCUGUGGCCUGUGCUCUCCCCAUGCUCCUGCUUCUGCCCUGACCAAACCUGGUGCUUCCCC